AUAGAUACCCUGGUAGUCCACGCCGUAAACGAUGAGUGCUAAGUGUUAGAGGGUUUCCGCCCUUUAGUGCUGCAGCUAACGCAUUAAGCACUCCGCCUGGGGAGUACGGUCGCAAGACUGAAACUCAAAGGAAUUGACGGGGGCCCGCACAAGCGGUGGAGCAUGUGGUUUAAUUCGAAGCAACGCGAAGAACCUUACCAGGUCUUGACAUCCCACUGACCGGUAUAGAGAUAUACCUUUCCCUUCGGGGACAGUGGUGACAGGUGGUGCAUGGUUGUCGUCAGCUCGUGUCGUGAGAUGUUGGGUUAAGUCCCGCAACGAGCGCAACCCUUGAUCUUAGUUGCCAGCAUUUAGUUGGGCACUCUAAGGUGACUGCCGGUGACAAACCGGAGGAAGGUGGGGAUGACGUCAAAUCAUCAUGCCCCUUAUGACCUGGGCUACACACGUGCUACAAUGGAUGGUACAAAGGGCUGCAAGACUGCGAAGUCAAGCCAAUCCCAUAAAAACCAUUCUCAGUUCGGAUUGC
rnacentral:rRNA from 1 species